UAAAAUAAUGUUUUAUUCAAAUAUUAAUUUUAUUCCUUUUAACCUGGAAAUAAGCAUUUCAAGUCUUGUCUGAUUUUGUACUGAAAAUUCAUUAUGUGACUUACAACACUUUCUUCACUUUCUCUAGUACAUUCUUGGUGUUUUGAUAUUGUCAGCAUAACUUCAGACUUCUUCCAAUUAUUUAGAAAAGCAUGCUGUUGUUAUAAAUGUUAACUAUAUAUAAUUUCUCUCUAUUCCUAAGUGGGAACAAUUUCUACGACAUUUCAGGAUAAUCAUACCUUAAGCCUUUCUGAGGUAAACUUGAAUUCUAAUUAAGGACUCAAAAACAUGAACUUUCCAAUACACAGAGUGAGAGCUUUAGAUUUAAUGCACUUAUUUGAUGCUGAAAGGUGUGAGAGGGUCAGGAAUGAAAAUACAGAUAUUGUGCUAAUGCUGGCAGUUUCAAUUCUGCAUCUGUUGCCAUCUCCAUAUUGCAGAUGAACUCUGAUAAAUUAUACCAAUUCAUAAUUUUAAAACAGUCUCAUGGGUAUCUUUUUAUUAUGCAUUUUAAUAUGCAUCUGCAGUGACACAGUUCUGCAGUUCCCUUUACACAGCUAAUACAGCAGACACUUUUUCACUGUAAUUGUCCUGUUGCACAUGAGUUCCGCAUCAGGAUUUGAGAAAAGGCUGUUAAGAGUAUCCCUCAUGAUAGUUUUCAGCUAAUGUAUACUUCGAUUCUGAAAGUCCAGGCAGAAUGUGUAACAAGGCAUAGAGACUUAUUUUACUUGUUUCACACAAAUUCAUGGGAAAAAAACCUGACAAAUAUCUCAAAAGGUCAGUUCUUCUAUUCAUCCCAAAGACAACAAGGAUAUAUAGAAGAUGCCAUGCAAAAGAACACAUGGAUAAAAUUCUAUAUAAUAUAAUUUAUGAUAAACUCUCUAAUAACUGAUAAUAAUUUUUAGUUGUGAUUUACAAUAUGAUUAAAAUGUGCAAGAAAUAAUAUUUAAGAGGAAAUAUUAAGUAAAACAAAGUUUUUAAUACAAUUUUAAAAACUAUUAUUUUCCUUGGUCAAAAGCUCUUUUUUCUUGCUAGCUUUGAUAAUAUUUUAUGAGAAAGAGCCAGUCUUUUGGCAAUAUUACAUGAUUCAGUAUUUUUAAUGUGAAGUAUUUAACAAAAAAUACAAAUAUUUAAGUAUAGAGAGAGUUUUGCGGUCUUGAAUCAUUUUUAUUUGUGUGAUGUUGAAUAGAACACAACAUAAAUUACUGGAUGCUUUUUUCUAAUGUGUAUACAUCUAUUCAUCAAUAAUGUAUUUGAGUUUACACCAGAGUAAAAUAUAUUCCUAAAGUCAUUUAGGAUAAUUAUCAGUGGAUCUUUCAGAUUACAAUUGUUGAUGAAUAUGAACCCAUCCAUAUACGUGCCUUUAAGAAAUAUGCCAUAUUGGAUACCAUAAAGUUGACCUGUCUGAUAAAAAUGUUCUAUUAUAAAGAAAAUUCUUCAUCCCAUAUUACUAUUCAUCAUUAUUUCUGUCACAUCAGAGUUUAUGAUGGAAUUAAGUGAUAUUUAUGUAUUUAUUGCUAUGCUAUUUCAUUAUACAUCAUUGAGUUUUAUGACAUUUCUAAGCAAAUUAAUUAUACAUGUUCUCCCUGCUCCCCAGUCUGAACACUUCUAACCAGGGGCCAUUUGAAUAAAUAUCUGUAUAUAUCCUGAACUGGAAAGUUGGAUUUGAUACACUUUUGCAUAAUUUUGUAAUUCCCUUAAAAUAUCAACAAGAAAAUGGGAGAAGAACAUCUGAAAUAAAAAGAAGCAGAAACAGAUUUAAUCAUGUUACAUUAUACAUAAACUAUUAUCUUGAAUUUAUGUUCCAUAUGAUAAUGAAACAGAACAUCUUAAAGUAUUUGUUCUGACCACUGUUAAAUGUUGUGUUAAACAGAAUUAUGAAAUAUUUACUUAAACCACUAUUUUUUGGUACCAAAAUAUGGUAUGUUUGUAAUAUGUAAGUUACCAUCACAUAGUAGUUUUAAAUAAUACUCUUGUAGGAAUUAAUUUAUCCUUAAAAUAAUUGUAGCUCAUAUUAAAGUGAUUCUGCAAUAAGUGACAUUAUACAAUAAAAAUCGUAUUAAGAAUAAUUAGAUGGGUGUUGCAAUGAAAAAUGAAUGUUAGUUUUUAAUCCUUCCCUACAUUUAACUAAAUUAUAAGGAGAAACAUUUUAGUAGUGACACUAUUGCAGUAAGAGUAAUAAGGAAAUAUAAUAGUUGGAAAAAGUAACAACUAUAAGGGGGAUGUGGUGGUACACAAGUGUAUGAACAUUUGACAUAGCAUAAGCAUCAAAGACAACACUGAGCAUCUCUUAUCUCAGAACUGAUUUUAACAGAUAAAAAUGUAUCAGAAUUGUGAUAUUAAACCAAUGGUUAUAUUAUUAACAAGGGUCAUAUUAAAUACCACCUGACAGUUUCUUACACACCUGGGUUGUUUGCAAAAAGAAAUAGUAUAUAAUGAAAAGAAGUCUUUUGUUUCAUGUUUGCUGAACAACUUAAUAUUCUAUAAAGCCUGCUGCUCAGCCAUUUUCAAGUUUCUAGAAUAGUCUUUCCAUGAAAAUAAACCAGAAUAAUUGUGUUCAGUUUUCAGCAAGGAGUUGACCCUCCAUGGCUGUUAGCAUUUCUGUGUGACAUGUUGGCAAGUAGGAUGAGCCGUAAGGGUCUGAACAAGUACUUCCUUUCUACUAUAAUAUUUGGUGUGGAAAAUUACAACCAUCUCCAAUUUUUAAAAUGACAUCUUGCUUUUCUUCUUUUUGUUGUUAGCAUUGUGCAAGUUUUGUAGGAGAAAAAAAAUAAGGUGAGAUUGUGGGAGGGAUUGAUUUUAUUUAUCAUAUAAAUGUACAUAUUUGUGCUUGUCUGUCUACUGCUUUUAUUCCUAACAUUAAAAAAGCAGAUGGAGAUGGUGCCAGAAAUAAUAAAUAAGUUUCCAUUAAUACUUAAUCACAUAAAGGUACAUUCAAAAUUGCAAUACUUUUUAUUUGAAAACAGAAAUGGAAAAAAUCUAUAUUGCCAGUCAAAUUUCCUCCGUAUUUUUAAUACUGUUGAAGUCUCUUACAUGCCCAGAUAGUAAUAGUGGACUAAAUAUAUGAAAUUUCCUCUUCUGGGGAAUAUAACAGAUAUAUAUAUAUAUAUCUCAUUAAACUGAAAUUGAUACUAAUUUUCACUAUCAGCCAUAGUAGUUGCAUGAGCAUGACCACAGUCCUGGCUGUGAAGUUCUAAAUCAAGAUCUACAUCUACUCUACAUCAAGCAGAUAAUUUCCUAGAUGUGAGAUCAGACUAAGUGCUGGGUUUUGUGCUUUACUUCUGUUUUGUCACAGAAAUCUGACAGGGGAAAUGUAAGUGUUGAAGAGUAAGGUUAAAAAGUAACAUUAUUCACAAUGCUCAAAAUGAAUCUCUGCACAAUGACUUGGUAACCAUGGACACAAAAAUCUCAUCUGAAUGUUAUCUGGAAGAUGACAGAUUACAUCUAGGAAAUUUUUUCUAGUGUUAUUUGUUCAUUGGGAGCUGAGGAUGGAUCUCCUCGAAAUUUGGGUUUGAUGUAAUGCCUUAAGUUUUAGCUUUCAUAUUUUCCAGGUUCUGUACUACAUUACUAUGUAAGUCUGAACUUAAUAUAAAGUUUUAACAGGUUCUCUUCACAGGUUAGUUAGACAAAACAAUCCUUUUCCAGCCUGAGAACCAAGGACACCGCUGCAGCCUCAGGCCCAAAAGGUACAAACAGCAGCGAAUUGAGGAGAGCAGUCUGGGAGGAUGGGACUUAAUAACCUGAAGCUGUAAUCGGACAAUUAACCCCAAUAUGUAAAAAACAUAAAAAAUUAUAAAAGUGUGAAAUCUCGUAACUGGGUGUCCAGCUUGGGAGGAGCCAUGGCCGGGCUCUUGUAGUGCCCAGGGUGUAUCCUUUGAAGGCGUUUUGAUAAAUACCUACUUUACUCUUUUAACACUGUCUAGCCUCUGUUCUAGGGAGCCUCUCAAGGCGGCAGAUACACAGAAGACUGAGUGCCACAGUGGUUACAUGCAUAACUAGAUUUAACAACAUCAAUGUCUUCAUUGGUGUAAAUGUUACUUUAGUAAUUUUGCAAUGCUAAGGAGAGUAACUUGGUCACAAUCUGCCAGGCUCAAGGUAAUAUCUUUUGUAAAAUGAGAAUUCAAUUUGAUGCAUUUAAAAUUUUAAAUGAAUUUAAAUUUUCAGAUGAAUUGUGAAGAAAUAUCAGUAUUGGUGAAGCGAACAUAAUUCUGCAAUAUGGUUACUUUGGAAGAUGCAAUCUGAUCAUAAAAUUGAUAGGUGUUUUAUAGGCUGAUAAGAAUUUAACAAUCAGUAAGGGUGUUGUUUUGAGUUGCAAUUUAUUGUCAAGAUCAGUGUAGAAGAUAUGCAAAUGGAGCUCAAUUCAAAUAUAAUCUCCAGAUUCAUGUGCCAGAAUUUGGUCUAAAAUGUCCAUUUGUUCAUAUAGGUGCUGGAGGGGUCUAAAAAUCUCAUUCUGCGACAGAACUUAUAUUCAAAGUCCAUUAGCCAAGACAGCUCUUAAAUUUUGAAAGGACAGUAUCGGAACCUAAUGGUUAUUAUGACAGUGAUGGAGUAAACUCCCCAGAAAGCUUAGGAAGAACAAUUGAUGCUUAAAAUAACACAGGAUUAAGAAGAUGCAAGUUUAAAAAGGGAAAAAAUACUUCUGUGAAAGUGGAAUUCUGACACCAUCUGCUCUUGAAGCACUUUGAGAUUGGAGGAGUCAAGCAGUGCUGGCAAUCAAAGUCUAUCCUGCAAGUGACUACAUCAACGCUAGGAAUAAAGCAGAGUACUGAGGCAACAGGCAGAAGCAAGUGCAGGCCCUAAAGAAAGAGAUAUUAAUGUUACAAAAUGCCGCCUUCAUCAUUUCACUACCAAGCCAAGUAAUAAAGUUUCACCUUUCUGCUGAUUGGAUCAAUGCUACAGAUCAUCUGUGGAGAAAAUAGGCUGCAUGGAAGGAGAAGGAAUCAGUCUCUGUGGCAUCUGAAGCUUUUUCCCUUGUUCUGUUAGUGCAAUACUAAUGUUAGGAUGAGAACACUGAAGAAGCUGAGAACACUGAGAACACUGAAGGACAACAUGGAGAUUAUAGGAAGGAUAAAUCCUCCUCAUAGAUCCUCUUCCCAGGGCACAGAGCAGCCAUCUGGACAGUUGCUGUGCUGGUCUUUAUUCAGAGAGGCUGUAUGUACCUCAGGCUCUGAAUAACCAUGAGGGUCUACUGAUUACAGAACAUUUUCUGAUAUUAAAUACUGUACUUAGAGUGACAUAGCAAUUAAUAACAAACACAACAGAGAAUAUGGACUCCGUUGGGCAUGGGAAGCCAUGGCUUUCAAAUCACUUGCUGAUUCUGUAAUAGCUGACUUGAAAGUCCAGCUGUGAUAUGCAACCAUUGAGCAUUAUAGCCAUUUGAAAGCUAUUUCAACACACUGAACAUGAAAAGUAAAUGCUAAUGAGCUAUUUAUCUCAUCAAUACAUUUUGUUGUCCUUUAUACUGACAGCCAUCACCAGGAUUGCUAUGGUAUGCUUUUAGAAUAGUAAGUACUGUUUUAUUUGCAAUGUGGGUCAGAGAGAAAGAGCCCCAUAAAUAAAAAGCUUGUACUUGACACAGAAGGGUGGUUAAGCAUCGCAGUAUCUCCUUUGCAGUGUGAAAGACAAAAUGAUUCAAUUUUAUUGGGGAAAUAAUUGAAUUUGGUGGAAAGAAUGAUCUCCAGUUUCAAAAUUAUUUACUCUCACUUUUCCUAAACAAUGCAUUACUGUAGGAACUAAAAAGAAACUUGACCAAAUUGCUUUUUCUUUCAGAUAACCAUAGGAAGCAAAACACAGUGAUGUUUGGAAUGAUCAAGUCUAACUACAUAGGAAAAAAAGAAUGUUUUGAGUGGGUAUUUUAAGUACCUUUGGAUGACUGGUUUGAUUACAGAUGAUUAUUUAAACAACCUCAGACAGCUGGCUGAAAAUAGUAGCAUACUUACUGACUUCUGGAAACCUCAGCAUCUGAGUCAGAAAGAGAAUAGCCAUGGGUGAUGAGCUUCAGUGGCACUGAAGUCAUCCAGCUGCAGAGCAUUUUCUGAUCUACAAGACAUGAAACAUAAUGCUGAGACAGAUUUAUAAUUUCUACUUCUUUAGGAAAUUAAUCUGUGAAGAAAAGAGCAUGCUCUGAAGAACCACUUGUUAUCAAUGGACUGUAUCUUAAUAUACAAUGAAAUGCAAGCCUUAGAAAUGUUUUACUUUUUCAAUAAAUUUUAUCUCCAACAGUUUUAAUAUCAACAAGAACCCAACUCAGUUUUUCCUUCCUCUAUUUCUUACCUCUUAUAACUAUACUCUGCCAGUCAUUUUACAUGGAGAUUGUUCCACAAAGCAACUGAAAUUCUCUAUCUUUACCAGUCAACUAAACUAUUCUGUAGAACCAGGUAAGGGGGUAAUUUAUGCCAAAUAUUUGCAAUUCAAUGAACUCGUGUAGGUAGCAAUCUUUAAAAAUACAUCAAACAAAAAUGAAAAGGAAAACUAAAAGAACAUAGUUUAUGAAUUUAUAGCAAGGUUACUUUUCUCAGUCUAGGUGGUGUUACAUCUUUAUCCAUCUAGAUUAGUAUUGUUUUGUUGAAUUUGCUAUAUUUCUUUAGUUUUGCUUUGUGCGUUUGGGUUGUUGUGUUUGUGUUUUAUCAACAGUGAAAUUACAUUCUUGCCUGAGAUUCUGAGCUUUACAAAAUGCUCCUUUUUUCUGAGUACUCCCAUCACUGUCAGGUAGUGCUAUCGACUGCUUCUAUGUAAGGGGUUUAAUCUGUGGGAAGAGAAGUGGCAAGAGCACAAAACAAGCGAAGAACUCAAAACUGCAAAGGACAUGUUGGAAAGAGGAUUACCAAUGUAGCACUUGAUAAAAGUCUUACAAAAUAGCAUGACAAAAGGUAUGAAUGUAAGAGCAAACCAAAAGAAAUAAAAUUGUACAGUAUUAAUCCUUCAUUAGAAAACCUGCCCAGACAUCUCAAUUUUAAUUGUCUGAUAAAUGUCUCAGAAAUUAUUCUCACAAAGGAGGAUAGUUUUAAGGCUAGUGUGUGCAAAAAUCCACCAUCUUAAAGUCAGGCUUAGUUUAACCAGAAGCCAACAUUAUUUUGAAACAUUUAACUAACUACGUUUUAUUAAUAACACAUAGCCUCCUGAUAAUUCAAAUCAAGCCUUGUCCAAUAAUUAAAAGGUAUGCUAAUGUAAUUUUAAGGCAACUGAAGAUUAAAUAUAAACAAAUCAACAAAGAAACCAUCAAGUAUCCAUCCUGAAAUAUACAGUGCUUCAAUGCAUAGUAGACAACAGUACUUGCUCUCUUGACCAUCUUUGCUAAAAUUUAUGUCUGUGUCCCCAUGCUCCUCUCCUAAGAAGAGUCCGGCUCCAACAGAGCCCUUUGGAGAAGAAGGCUUCUCCUGUCACCAGGGAAUUUCUGAGUGUAUGCAGGGUAGGAAAGGUUGCUGAGUUGGCAAGCAAGAGCCAGCCAAAGGCUGGAGCUCAUGCAGAGGUUAAGAGGCAGCAGAGAGGAUGAGUCUGCUAACUAGGCCACAAACACAAAGGGAAGGGCUUCUCUGGGACAGAGGGGAAAAGAUCAGAUCUUGCUGCUGUUCAGAAAGUAUCAAGAUAAUGGAACUGAAACACAAAAGUUCCAGUCUACAGGGACAGAAUGGGCAGUAUAUAAAGCUCUCCAUUUUUGUUCUUUUUAUUCAUUACUUUAACUUCUUUUCAUUUGGAAAGUCAUACACUUGGACUUCUAUUUUGGAAUAAAAUUUAUUUUUGAAUCUAAACCCUUUUGGUCUCUUUGGGGAAUUUCUCCAGAAGGAAGUUUAAGCACAUCUGUUCUGCAGCAGUGGCCAAAACAUAUUCAUAGUUAAUAUGUGCACAGAUACAGAGCAAGGCUACAGCUGCAGCAAUGUGCUCAAAAAGGAUUAAAAAACCAACCUGUCCCUCAUUAAAUAAUGGCAAUGAAGAGAGAAUAUCAACAUGCUUCUGUAGGUGAUGUGGUGCUCAGGUGAAAUGACAAUUGCACCUCACUGCCACAGAACUAGGAGACAGAGUAAAAAUCAACUUACUUCUCAUUCUCUUCUAUUGCUUCCAUCACAUUUAUGUUAUUUCCCAGGUAGCUGAAAUAUAAUUUGUUCUGUUUUCCUACUUGUAAUACUGGAAAUAUCACUGUUAACUUUUUCACUGCCCUGCAAAUAUGUUUUUUGCAAUGCUCACUCUGACAUUGUAAAUCCUACAAUAUUAGUUUCUUUGUUACCUUGCUAAUUGAGUUACACUUUUUAAGCAGAUAUACUUCUUCAUGGUUUUAGGCCUAUUUUUUUUCCAAGCUUACUAACCUCAUUUUCUUUGGUUUUGUUUAAUUUCCAUUAUUUUCCUUUUUAUCCUUUUUCAGUAACUUCAUUUCACAUUCAGUGAAGUUGCUAAGCCUGGAUGAUACCUGUUCCUGCCUUUUGUUUUUUGUUCACUGUAAAAUUCUUUGUUAUCCAUCAAUUUCCUGCUGUAUUUUUCCCAACAAACACAGUGUGAUUUUUACCUGUG